GGGGGAAAUGUUUGUGUGUGUGAGGGACAGUGUGUGUGGGGGCAGUGUGUGUAUGUGGGAGAAUUAUUGCCUGUGUAUGUGGAAGAAUUAUUGAGGGUAGAUUAAUAAAUUAUAUAUUUUUGUUAAUUAAUAAAAAUAAUACCUUUGAUAUGCCCCCUCCCUGCCUACCUUUGCCUGGGAGGGGGGGACAGUACUAAUCCCUGGUGGUCCGGUGGAGAAGCCCUGGUGGUUCCAGUGGUGAGUGUGAACCCCAGCAGCCUCAGGAACUGCUAGAGUUCACUCUUGCGAGAUUUGGAGCAUUGCUGUGUUAACCGUGGCAACAUUCCGAGCUCGCAAGAGGAGAACCCGGUGGAGCUGCAGGUUAGAGCUUCUCCGGUCUCCCUCCCUUGCUGGCUGCCAGCAGUAUUCUGCUUGCGGGCCGGUGAGGGAGAUCUCUAAUCUCCGUGCGAUCCUGCAGAGCUGUCAGGGGAGAAGGAGGCACGGUUACCGAAAAUAUCUUGCGGCAAUUUAUUGACUGUCUUCGAAAGCUUUCACCAGACGGUAUAGUCGGGUGAAAGCUUUUGCGGACCGGCAAUAAAUUCUUCCAGACCCCACAAGUUUUUAGGUGGCAGCCUAACUGACCUAAUUAGAGAGCUGCCUCUCUAACUAGGAGUUUGACCUAUGUUUAAUGUUUAUGCAGGUGUAUGUAUGCAGCAGAAGUUAGAUUAGUCUUUGACACAGAUGAAAACAAGUAAAAAUCAAACUAGUAACAAUUAAAACAAAUAAUCAGGAAGUGCAGACUAAAGUAAAAAUUAAUAAGGUAUAUAUGAAUAUUGUACAUUUAGCAAUAUUUGUAGCAGCCAAGUCAUUAAAGCACAAGAAGAACCACAAGAAGAACAUGGAGAUAAAACGUCUGAAAACGGUUUCUGUUUUGAGUUGGUCACAUUUUGCAGUGAUACUUAAUACACAAGAGAAACUGUAUCCCUCACUGCAUUAUUUAUACAUACCUCCAUGACUGUAUUACUGAUAAAACUUGGUUUUAGAUCCCCAGGAUUACUGUUAUAUAUGCUCUGAUUUUACUAUUUGUCUCCAUUGCUUUUUGUUUUUAUUGUCUAAGGAUCUUAUUUUAUUGUAACUUAUUAGCAGUGUCCGUAGGUUUUAUCUAUAAAAAUUUAACUAGUGAGAACUGCUAUUAGAAAUACAUCCGACAAGAAGAAAUUACAACAUCCAUUAGUGAGCACUCCAUGAAUUAAUGUUGUGCUUUUUCUAGAUCAAUAAUACACGUAUGACUGGA